AAGCAGUAGAACCCAAAUGCAGCGUGAGGACUCACGCUGCAUUUGGGUUCUACUGCUUAA
rnacentral:miRNA from 1 species